UGUACAUGUUACACUAGUUAAGAGUUUAACUUUAGUCUCUAAUUUGAGUUUAGCCUAGAUAAUUAAUUUAUUGAUGUCGUACUGAUCCUUGUGUUUGUAUGAUUAUAGAGACCGUACUGGAGUAUUUGUGCUGCCUGAUAUUUGGGACUACACACCAAUCUCUCUGGCUGACCUACCUUUUUUUGCAAUUAAAUCUGUUUGGUCAAAAACCAUGCUGGCCGAAGAAACUGAGAUGCUUACUUAUGAGGACAUAAACUAACUUGGAAAGUCCUGAAGAUGCAGUGCUGUCUAAUGCCGCUAUUUCUGUAUUACCCUUUCAACAAUUGGGGUGUUGCACAGAGUAUUGUGGUGAACAUCCAGCAAACAGAAGAAUUAAGAACUAUGUGGAAGCUGACAUUGUCUUGUUGUCAGCCAUAUUGCUACCCUUAGCUAUGUUAUGGUGUCUAAGAUUAUGGAACAAAGUUUAUGGUGUCUAAGAUUCUUUAUACUCCUUGAAAGACUUAUAAUAUUUUUCUGGACUAUGCUGGACUAUUGAACUAUUUUGUUAUUUUUAUUUUUGUAGAGUUAGCCGGAGAGAGAGGAAGUGUUAGCUUACUCAGGCAUGGAUGUACUAUGUGUGUCAUUGAUGUAUGUUGAGUGUACCAAGGAUGGAUUCCCAUGUAUUAAGUGUGGAUAUGACUGGACCAUCGAAAUAGGGAUUUGAUUAGGAGGCAUAGGACGCAAGGUCAUGAUUGGGAUUAUUGCUAGAAUUGCAAACUGAUUAGAAAUGAUCUUAUGAUUUAAUAUGUAAGUGGGCCUUUUCAAACUAAUCAAGAAGUGUUUCCCAAUCCCGAUACCCGAGCUAUUUACUUACAAGUGCAGGUUUUAUACGUCACUAAUGCUGUUAACGUGAGGGGAUGACAUGUCUACACAGUCAUGGCCCUCACUUAGAGUUUCCCCAGAUGUGCUUUUUUCCUCAGUUAUGAGUUUUUGCCACUGGGUUUUUUGACCUGGCCCAAGUUCACUGGGUGGACUGGUAAUCCAAGACCCUGGUCCAAAGAGGGGAAAUAGAUUUUAUUCCCAUUUUUGAUUAUAUGUGUUUACGUUGUGAAUUAUAAUAAUAAUA